rnacentral:rRNA from 1 species
UCAGGUGACUAUAGCGACGGGGUCCCACCUCUUCCCAUUCCGAACAGAGAAGUUAAGCCCGUCAGCGCCGAUGGUACUGCAUACGCGGGAGAGUAGGACGUCGCCAACU